GUUUCUUCGAAAGCAAGGCUUCGCAAUUGGAAGGUUGACUCAUGUACCUGCAGCAAAUACCAAAGAAUAUUACUAACGACUUCUCUUGAAUACUCAAAGAGGAUGUAUGAAUUUUCGAGAUAUAAGAACAAUAGGAGGAACAAUUUAUGCCACGUAUAGAGAUUCAUGCUUCGCCCUUGGACUCUUGCAAGAUGACAGAGAAUUCAUGGAUGCAAUUAAAGAAGCAAGCUCAUGGGCCUCAGAAUCAUAUGUUAGGAGGUUAUUUGUCAUUCUAUUAACAUCCAACAAUAUCUCAAGACCAGAACAUGUCUGGAAUAGAUGUUGGCAUGAACUCUCAGAUGAUAUUUUGUAUUGACAAAGAACCGUGAUGAACAUGAGGGGUGAGUUUUUAUUAAUUGCAAUUAUAAAAGUUCUUCAUUAUUGAUCAUUUUUAGUUUGA